UGUCAAUCAUAAAGCAAUGCCACUCCGGAUAGAUUAGACACCAUUUACAGUGUAUCAUUUGCCAUAUAACUAAAUAGUUACCCUCAACGUCAAGAGGAAAUAUUUUAUUUUAUUGACAGCCUAGUGACUUUGUGACUCUAGAGAGUUUGUGGUCACGUUGUACGAACUCUGUACAUUGUACAUACGUAUAGGGGUAAAUCGUUGAAAUCUCCUGUCUCCAAACAGAUGUGGAUACAGUGCUGCUUGGUUGCCGCCAGAGGUGCACUGUGUGGCGUGGUGGAGUCAAACUGGGCCAGCUCUCUCGGCGCUCUUUCCCCCAAAGUGCCCUCUGUGUGAAAUCGUUUUUUUUGCCUUUGUGGUCCAGGGCCACGAUGAGGCAUUAGGGCCCAGCAGAGUGUGGACUACAGGGGGAUGCAGACCUACUCGGCUUCCCCAGGACUAAUCUCUAUCCUCCAGCAAAGGCCUAAAUUGAGCCAUCCUCAGCUGCUGAUCUAGGGGUGAAACACCAAUUAACAUAAUGAGCGACAAGCCACUGAGGAAGGAAACAGAGGAGGAGGAGGAGGAAGGAGGAGGAGAAGAUGGCCACAUAGAUUGGGAUGGGGGGUGGCCAGACAAUCCAAUCGGG
ensembl:lncRNA